rnacentral:rRNA from 1 species
CCCUUAGAUGUCCUGGGCUGCACGCGCGCUACACUGAUGUGUCCAGUAAGCACCUAACCUCUUCCGAAAGGAACGGGUAACCUUUGCAAAGCACAUCGUGAUGGGGAUAGAUUAUUGCAAUUAUUAGUCUUGAACGAGGAAUUCCUAGUAAGCACAAGUCAUCAGCUUGUGUUGAUUACGUCCCUGCCCUUUGUACACACCGCCCGUCGCUCCUACCGAUUGAAUGUUCCGGUGAGCUCUUCGGACUGCGCGGUCUGCAGUUUCUGCGUUCCGUGCGGAAAGUUGCGCAAACCUUAUCACUUAGAGGAAGGAGAAGUCGUAACA